UAUGGUUUAUUACAGGACAUUGAAUAUAGUUCAAGGGUGAGGCAUUGUGCAUUGUCUUAUGACACAGAAAUUUAGAAGAAAAGGCCAAGAGGAGACAGUCUAUCGAAUGAACUCCAAGCGGAGGCCCUGCAGGCAUGGGACAGGGGAAUAUAAAGAACAGGAUUGGAAUUUAUCUCCGGAAGAUUUGGGAGUAAACUAAAGAAAGGAGGAAGAGUCAUCUGUGGAAGCAGGGCUGCACCUGAGGUAUAGGGAGAUUCUCAGGUUAGGAGUCUAAACAUGUAGGAGAAAAUCUCCUGAUAAGAAGGUAGAAAGGAGAGACCCCGGCGGCCAUGAUGACUACGCAACGUCCAGCCAACGGCCCCAACCUCCCCUCCCCACACGUCUGCUUCUGUAAACUUGUUUCCACAUCAACUACCUUGCCUGACCUCACUCCAGUCCCACCAGCCAAGCACGGACCCAGAAGAGGUAGCCCUUAAAAGCCUUGUGAAACCCUUUUGGGGGCUCAGACUCCAGAGAGUGAUCUCCUCUGAGCCCGCAGGCAAAAUACACCUGAGUUCCCCGCCUCUCCGAGUGCUCGCUUGGUGAAAGAGCUGAUCCGCUGCAGCCACACGGCUGCUGGAGCUGUCACACUACAGCCACAGGGCUGCCGCCAGAGCUGAUACGCUGUGGCUGCAGGGCUGCUAGGCAGCUGCCAUAGCAUUUCUGGAGGCCCCAGGGAGAUUCCAACCAUUCUGGCCGCUUGAGCCACCUGAACGGCCGCAAGGCCGCCCGGGAGCCGGGGAGCCAUGAACCCAAUGAGGCGGCGAGCCACCCGACGGUAUUGUAGGUCCUCCUUCUUGAGGGGCAUUCCUGACUCCCAGGUGACCGAACCCUGACUGGACUCGGUGGAGAGACGGACCAACUCACCAGGAAGGCGUCUGGACAAGGUCUUUUCUUGCCUAUUUUCUUAGCGGAAGAAUGCUCUCCUCUUCCCUAUGGCUGGGUCUCCACGUAGUGGGCAGAUCUAGACUGUCCACGGAGCACGCCGACCAUCCUUUCUUCUCAUCUUAUAUUCCUGCCUUCCUCUUUCCAUCUCUUCCUCCUGAGUCCAAGAAAGAAGACAAGAUUAUGGGGGAAGCACAUAAUACACUUCAUAAUGAAACCAUGGGACCCACUCCUUUGUAUCUAUUAACAAAUGAAUAUAUUUAUUUUGAUGCUGCUAUUGUCUAUGUACAGACAGAAGAUCUGACCAAUAGGACGCGAUGGUGGUAUGACGGGGUUUCUGACCGUAACACCAUCAGAAUACCAUCAAAACAACAUUCUGAUUCUCAGCUGUCACCAUUGACUUUUUUUCUCUCUUUCCCUCCCCAGCUUUAUUGUGGUAUGACUGACAAAUAAAAAUGUAUACAGUUAAGAUAUAUGAUGUGAUGUUUUGAUAUACAUAUACAUUGUGAAAUAAUUACCAUGGGUAAGCUAAUUAGCCUAUUUGGCACCUUUUUUUGGUGUGUGGUAGGAAUAUUUAAGAUAUAGUCCAUUAGCAAAUUUCAGGUAUAGAGUAUAUUAACUAUUAGCUAUAGUCACCAUGGUGUACAUUAGGUUUUCAUCAUUGACUUUCUAAGAGUCAAAUUCAAUGAUUUCAUAUGAGUUUUGAUUCUCUCUGAUCUCUGCGUAAUACAUUUGAUUCUCUUAGCCAGUCCCUCCUUCCUGAAAUGCUUUACUUGGCUUUUUAGGCUUUUUAUGCUCAAUUACUUUACUAGUUACUUACUGUAACUCAAAUCUUUUGGUUUUAUUGCCCAGGAUUUAUUUGCUGGUCUUCAGGUAAAAGAUUUCUUAUGAGAACCCCUACAAUCUCAGCUCAUCAGAUUUACUUCUGCUAACAGCUCAAGAUGUGGGCACUGAUUGGCCUGCAGAUAUGAGUGAAGUAGGAAAAUGGGAGCUUGGAGCUUGCCGUAGCUAUUUGGCUACCACAUGGAAUUUGAGAGUGGAGCCUAAGUGUCAAGAAGCAGAGUGGAGAGAUGGAGCUCUUGGUGACAUACGGGCCUAUUAUAAACAUUUCAGAGAGAAGAGCCAAUAGAUCCUCCUUCUCCCCCAGGAUUUUGACUUAAACCGGUUUGAUUUAGGUUUUCUUCCUUUUACAAUCUAAACAACACUAAAACAGCCUGUGUUUUACUGUCCAUAGAGAAAAUUCUAGAAAGAUACAUUUCAAAGUGAUAGGUGUGCUUAUCUCUGGAGAAAGGGGACUGUCAUGAUGGGAGAGUUGUUUUGAUGGUAUUCUGGUGGUAUUAUGCUCAAAAAACCCUCUCUCAUUUCCCUUUUCUACAGUGGAUACUUAGUGUUCCUGGAGGUUGUAAAACAAAUAAAACAUGUACUUAAAACUUGGGCUUUCGAACU
rnacentral:lncRNA from 1 species